rnacentral:rRNA from 1 species
UACGUAGGGGGCAAGCGUUGUCCGGAUUUAUUGGGCGUAAAGAGCGUGUAGGCGGCUUUACAGGUCCGUUGUGAAAACUCGAGGCUCAACCUCGAGACGCCGGUGGAAACCGUAAGGCUAGAGUCCGGAAGAGGAGAGUGGAAUUCCUGGUGUAGCGGUGAAAUGCGCAGAUAUCAGGAAGAACACCCGUGGCGAAGGCGGCUCUCUGGGACGGUACUGACGCUGAGAGCGAAAGCGUGGGGAGCAACAGGAUUAGA